rnacentral:rRNA from 1 species
UACGUAGGGGGCAAGCGUUGUCCGGAUUUAUUGGGCGUAAAGAGCGCGUAGGCGGCCAAGCGGGUCAGCUGUGAAAACUCGAGGCUCAACCUCGAGACGUCGGUUGAAACCGCAUGGCUAGAGUCCGGAAGAGGAGAGUGGAAUUCCCGGUGUAGCGGUGAAAUGCGCAGAUAUCGGGAAGAACACCCGUGGCGAAGGCGGCUCUCUGGGACGGUACUGACGCUGAGACGCGAAAGCGUGGGGAGCGAACAGG